rnacentral:rRNA from 1 species
UAUUACCGAAGCUGUGGAUUGUCCUUUGGACAAUGGUAGGAGAGCGUUCUAAGGGCGUUGAAGCAUGAUCGUAAGGACAUGUGGAGCGCUUAGAAGUGAGAAUGCCGGUGUGAGUAGCGAAAGAUGGGUGAGAAUCCCGUCCACCGAUUGACUAAGGUUUCCAGAGGAAGGCUCGUCCGCUCUGGGUUAGUCGGGUCCUAAGCUGAGGCCGACAGGCGUAGGCGAUGGAUAACAGGUUGAUAUUCCUGUACCACCUAUAAUCGUUUUAAUCGAUGGGGGGACGCAGUAGGAUAGGCGAAGCGUGCGAUUGGAUUGCACGUCUAAGCAGUAAGGCUGAGUAUUAGGCAAAUCCGGUACUCGUUAAGGCUGAGCUGUGAUGGGGAGAAGACAUUGUGUCUUCGAGUCGUUGAUUUCACACUGCCGAGAAAAGCCUCUAGAUAGAAAAUAGGUGCCCGUACCGCAAACCGACACAGGUAGUCAAGAUGAGAAUUCUAAGGUGAGCGAGCGAACUCUCGUUAAGGAACUCGGCAAAAUGACCCCGUAACUUCGGGAGAAGGGGUGCUCUUUAGGGUUAACGCCCAGAAGAGCCGCAGUGAAUAGGCCCAAGCGACUGUUUAUCAAAAACACAGGUCUCUGCUAAACCGUAAGGUGAUGUAUAGGGGCUGACGCCUGCCCGGUGCUGGAAGGUUAAGAGGAGUGGUUAGCUUCUGCGAAGCUACGAAUCGAAGCCCCAGUAAACGGCGGCCGUAACUAUAACGGUCCUAAGGUAGCGAAAUUCCUUGUCGGGUAAGUUCCGACCCGCACGAAAGGCGUAACGAUUUGGGCACUGUCUCAACGAGAGACUCGGUGAAAUCAUAGUACCUGUGAAGAUGCAGGUUACCCGCGACAGGACGGAAAGACCCCGUGGAGCUUUACUGUAGCCUGAUAUUGAAAUUCGGCACAGCUUGUACAGGAUAGGUAGGAGCCUUUGAAACGUGAGCGCUAGCUUACGUGGAGGCGCUGGUGGGAUACUACCCUAGCUGUGUUGGCUUUCUAACCCGCACCACUUAUCGUGGUGGGAGACAGUGUCAGGCGGGCAGUUUGACUGGGGCGGUCGCCUCCUAAAAGG